UACGUAGGGGGCAAGCGUUGUCCGGAAUCAUUGGGCGUAAAGCGCGUGUAGGCGGCCCGAUAAGUCCGCUGUAAAAGUCCAGGGCUCAACCCUGGAAAGCCGGUGGAUACUGUCGGGCUAGAGUGCGGAAGAGGCGAGUGGAAUUCCUGGUGUAGCGGUGAAAUGCGCAGAUAUCAGGAGGAACACCGGUGGCGAAGGCGGGACUCUGGGCCGAUACUGACGCUGAGGAGCGAAAGCGUGGGGAGCAAACAGG
rnacentral:rRNA from 1 species